UACAGAGGUCUCAAGCGUUGUUCGGAUUCAUUGGGCGUAAAGGGUGCGUAGGUGGCGGGGUAAGUCAGGUGUGAAAUUUCGGAGCUUAACUCCGAAACUGCAUUUGAUACUGCCUUGCUUGAGGACUGGAGAGGAGACUGGAAUUCACGGUGUAGCAGUGAAAUGCGUAGAGAUCGUGAGGAAGACCAGUGGCGAAGGCGGGUCUCUGGACAGUUCCUGACACUGAGGCAGCGAAGGCCAAGGGGA
rnacentral:rRNA from 1 species